CCCUAAUUCAUUUAAAUCGAAUGGCAAGACUCGAUCGAGCCCUAACCCUGCCUUCCUCUUCGAUGGCUCGACAGCAACGCUGCUACCGCUCCUCCCCUCCUGCUACAGAGAAACCCUGGCAUAUGCUCAAUCUCUCCCAUUUUUCGAUCUCCUGUGUCGCAUGCGGUUUCAAGAUUAAAAGCAUCGACGCAGAUUAGUUGUGUCGAGCGGGCAAUGCUAAUACGACGGAAUAGUGUCGGAUUAACAUCCGCAGCCAAUGCCCUAAAAUAUUCAUUUGCAUUUUCAGCUCACUUCCACCGCUCUAACUUCGUUCAAGAUGGCAAAUUCUGAGUCCCCAGAGAGACCCCACGUUCAGCGGACUUUGGGAAACACAUAUCGAAGGCCGAAGAAGCCACUCCAAUGACCCUUUAUGUUGCCCCUCCUCCCACACCAGGUCCCUCGCAAGCACCUCACCUCUCACUCCACCAUAUUUCCCAGAUUCCUCAUCCGAUGAGCUAGGGCCCUCAACUCUAGCACCUGAGAUGACUAACACCGUCGACAGAGUCUAUAUUGAGUCGUAGGGUGACUCGUUUUAUCCAUCCAGGCCGCCUGUGAUGCGAAUUACGGAGAUCAUCCCGAGCAGGUGGUCCAAAUAAUCAUUCCAAAGGGACAUUUUCUUAUCAUGACAAGCAUAAGCACAAACCGAUCAUGACUACACAAGGAAUAUGGAUGCUUGCAAAUCCAUUAUGCGAUGUUUACAACGAGUACCUAGGGAGCAAUCAUGCCAACGACUGAUUAAUCUCAGAAGUCCAUAACUUGGUAACAAAAUGUGUUGUUGCAAGGAAUCAUAGUAUUAUGGACCUAAUUUAUGUGGCUUUGUGGAUGUACACCUUUAAUCUUAAUUAUGAAACCACUCAUUAGUAAAUGUAUGCAAUGGAUUUGACGAACUUGGUGGACAGAUUAUUUUGGUUUAUUGCUUGAUGGAUAUAUCGUAUUUCUUUUAUGCAUAUUGA